AGUGAACGCUGGCGGUAGGCCUAACACAUGCAAGUCGAACGGCAGCACAGUAGGAGCUUGCUCUUACGGGUGGCGAGUGGCGGACGGGUGAGGAAUACAUCGGAAUCUACUUUUUCGUGGGGGAUAACGUAGGGAAACUUACGCUAAUACCGCAUACGACCUACGGGUGAAAGCAGGGGGUCUUCGGACCUUGCGCGAUUGAAUGAGCCGAUGUCGGAUUAGCUAGUUGGCGGGGUAAAGGCCCACCAAGGUGACGAUCCGUAGCUGGUCUGAGAGGAUGAUCAGCCACACUGGAACUGAGACACGGUCCAGACUCCUACGGGAGGCAGCAGUGGGGAAUAUUGGACAAUGGGCGCAAGCCUGAUCCAGCCAUACCGCGUGGGUGAAGAAGGCCUUCGGGUUGUAAAGCCCUUUUGUUGGGAAAGAAAAGCAGCAGGUUAAUACCCCGCUGUUCUGACGGUACCCAAAGAAUAAGCACCGGCUAACUUCGUG
rnacentral:rRNA from 1 species